rnacentral:lncRNA from 1 species
UUUUUUUUUUUUUUUUUUUUUUUUUGGUUUUGGGAAGGAGGAACGAAGGGGUGCUCUUGUUAUUUGCUGGGGUUUGUUACCUGGGGAAAAGAAAGGAAUGAUGAUGAGUUGAUGCUUCGGGUGGAAAACGGACAGGUAAAUGUGUGUGGCUUUUCGUUUUGGAGAGAGAGAGAGAGAGAGAGAGAGACUGUUAUGAGGACAUUGAGGAGCACUGGAGUGUGGUACCGGUAGCCGGUAGGGGCGUGUGGUGUGGUGCGUGUGUGUGUGACUGCGUGAGAGUGGAUUCCUUGGGGAUGGGAGUGGAGACUGACGAUGAGUCCGUAUGCCUGGGAAGACGAACAGAGACGUGGCCGGAUAGGGGAAAAAUUUUAGUUGGACUUGGAGCGGAUUCAUCAUUCAAUUCUCAACUGAUUCAUUUCAUCUUACACUUUUCAACUAUCUGAGACACUUUUGUCCUCAAAUUGUAAAAUUUAUCUCACUUUGAGAUACAUUUUAGGGCUAAGUACAAAGUAUAUUUUAGGGACUGAAUUGGAAGAAAUUUUAUACAUUAGAGACUCAAUGACCAAGUUUUAUACUUUAAAAAUUGAAGUAUAACGAAUUUUAUAAUUUAGAAACUGAAGCGUCUUAUUUUGAAAUUUAAGAAUCAGAGUGAAAAUUCAAAUUUAAUUAAAGGGUACAAAGUGGAAUUAACACAUUCUCGAUCAUGGGGUGAAAAUUAAAUCAUGUAAGUUAACAUUUUAUUUAUAAAGUGAUGUUUUAGAAUUUCGACGGUCAGUGUGGAAUUCAAUUAAAUCAAGCGACUUUCAAUUUGUGCUAAAAAAGAUUGAUUGGUUCAUUCUUUUUUUUUUUUUUUGUCAAAAGAUUGAUUGAUUUGUUUGCUGUGCAAGAUUGUGAGAUGCAAACUACGAGGAUGUUCAUUAUUAUUUUUUUGUGGGAAGGAUUCAUUGUGGUAUUUUCCUAGCAAAUUCUCUAAUACUACAAUUUAAUGAUUUAUCAGCCCACAAAUAAAAAGUUUCAAUUGAUAUGACUGGUGUUUAAUCCUCUUUAAAAAGAAAUUACAACUAAUAGACCGAAUUUACCACAUUUAUAAUUUCGACCGAGUGAUGACAGGAUCGUACGUUCGCAGUUGGGGCUUCUCAAAUAAAAAACAACAAAAACAGGACUCCGGCCCCCAGCCAGGAAAGCGUAGGCUCGUAGCUGGGGCAUUUGGUAAGUGGCAACGUGUGCUAAAUUAGUGUGCAUAUUAGCCUUACUUUCACGAGGAGGCGCGUGGACUGUACGUGAUGAGUUUGUAAUUUGAAAGGUGGUAAAAUAUCUCCCUACUUCCACUUUUCCAUCUUUUGUCUGUUUUUACUACUGUAAAUUAAAGCAUGUCUGCAGGCAUCUGAUUCCUUCAUAUAUAGGUUUGCUCAUUCAUGGCCUUGCAUUUGGUGACGUCUGUUGGUCGGGUCCUUUCGAAGACAGAAUUGCUUUUUGGUUUGGUGUUUAAGAGGAAACUUCAUAGCAAAGAGGUUGAAAGCUAAGGAAGAAUUCUUGUUCCAUGCAAUGCAUGGUAGGAAUGUGGCACCUAAUUCUCUGUAUUUUGGGUGGCUGUAACUAAGCAACUAAAAGGUAUCUCCUGCCUCAUCAUGUGGGUCCAUUACCAUAUAAAAGGGCUAAAAGUAAUUUAUUUUGGUUCAUUGUAAGAUGAAUAACAGUAGUGUCAAAUUAUUAUACCUACGUCGUUUCCGUAAUCACAUUCUCCUAUUAUCUUUUUCCCUCACACACAUCAAAUCGCUAAAGUAAUUUUUUCAUAAAAAAUUAUGAAAAAUACAAUCCAAACACAAUUUCAGAAUAAUCUAUGCCGUAGUGCUGUUUGUAGAACACAUGUCACGAGUAUAUACUUGUUAUAUGUAAAUCCCAAUUAAACUCAACUAAGUUCUAAGCCUUACGUAUAGGUGCUGAACAUUAAUUCAUUAAUUUAUUUGAGUCCCUUGUGCUAAGUCAAAAAGAGAUCAAACUUGAAUUUUGAUCCACUUAAUUUAUUAUUAUUAUUUACAAAUAAUCGGCUUUGUUUGGAUUGGGCUUUAUUUCUCAAAAUUUAUUUGCUUACAUCAUCAUUACAAUUUCCAAUACACCUUUUUACCUUUCCAAUUACCUUUUUUAUCUCACAUAUAUCACAUCACAAAAAAUGCUACAGUAAAAAUAUCUCUAAUAAUUCACAAUCCAAACAGACCUGAUAUUUUGCUCUCCAUUUUUAUUAUACAAGAAAAUUUUAAAUAAAAUUAACUGUGAUCAUCAUCACAAAUCAAAUCAAUGUAUGUCCUAAAAAUCUUGGAUCGCCUGCAUGAAUUUAGAAAAAAAAAAGAAAAAAGUGAUCCGCGCUGCCACUGCCGGUCGAGGCGACAUAAGUUGGCACACGCAUCCUGCUCUCGUUUCUCAGUUUCCGGUGAACGAGUCUCCGGAGGCGCAUCUUGUGAAGCUUCUGAGGAAUCACGCUCGCUAGUGGUAGGUCCCUAAAGCGCGUGAAAUGGCAGAGAAUUUUGGGGACCUCAGCGCUUUCUUUCUUGUUUCUAGUAUAACAGUAAAAGAAGAUCGCAAAAAAAGCUGACAUUUUGAUUUCCUACAGCAGAAAAAGUUAACAAAACAACUGUACAAGGUUUGUUAUAAUUAUAAAAUUGUACGUAGUCAUUGCUAAGUAACCCUGGUGGUUUUAUAUCACAACGACUUACUGCUAAUAAUUGGAAUCAACUACAAGCGAAAAUGGAAUUUGUUUUCACCUGUUUAAAUUGUUAUUUUUUGAAAUUUUUAUAAAAAUAUUAUACAUACAUAUAUAAUUUGAUGCACGUAAAAUAAAAAAAUUAUUAACAAAUGCAUUUAAGAAAAAUGUAAAAGUUUUUCAAUAAAUAGAAAAUUGCAAUCUAAACACCGCCACCUUGGUAAGAAGAUUAUCCAUUUCAUUCUUUGGAGUUUGGAGGGAGGGGAGAGGAAUAUCAUGGUCAUGGAACUGGUUGAAUCCCUCGCCUAAGAGUAAGACCAAGCAUGCAAAUAAAAUCAACAAGUCUCGGUCAUAUGAAAUUAUUUGGGUAUACAUGCAUUUAAUUUCGGCUAGCCUCGCAUAUGGAGUGAUGAAAAAUUGCUCCGUUAGAGAAAAUACCUGUGCAGUAAUUCAUCUUUGAUUUCAUUGUCCGACUCGUACUGGGAAAGAGCAAAGCCCAAGCUGAAGAUUACAGUGGAGAUCUAGAAUUUAUGUAAGCCCUCUUUUGCUGGCUGUUCAUUUAACUUACUUGUACCGAGGCCCUUGUCUUAACAUUUUGUCAGGAAGCCAGUGAACGCUACUCUCCUCUCCUCCUCGAGUCUUUUUUUCAACCAUCUAAACCCAAAGCGGCAUCCUGCUUUUUGCAGCUGUUUGCUAAUUGCUUAAUUAAUUGUACGGAAGUACUUCUUCAUUUUGUCACGGAGCCGUAACGCGCUUCUCUUCCUCCUCGAGCCUUUUCAGCCAGCUAAAACCAAGGUCGCAUCCUCCUUUUGCAGCUAUUUCAAAUUGAUCUCUCGCCAUCUCAAGUGGAUUAAGCUCGCUCCUUUCCCCCUUAUUUCUUUGUAUUCUGGUCAGGGAUCUCCUUUUUGUACUAAAUCUUUUUAGCGAUUCUGGAACUUCCGCACCUGAAAAAUGACAUCAAUUUCAUGCUUAAGGUAAUUAAAUUAAAGUUUAGUAACAAUAAAUGCGCUUCAUCAGAAUGAGUCAACAGAGCAGGGAAAGAAAACUUCCCAGCUGAAUCCCAUGUUACAUUUGUUACUCAAAUGUUUGCGACAAAUAACCUCCUGAACCAUGUAGAUUAGAUUAUAGAAAUGUUAUCGUUGCUUUAUAAAAAAAAAAAAAAAAAACCUCCGGAACCGUGUCAAUCUCUUAAAGGCAAAUAACCAAACAGUUUCUUUCUCAACCAAAUUAUGUACAUCACAAUAUUUUCCACCAAUAUAGUAAAUCAAAGCACAAGGCUGAAAAAGAACAAGGGCAUCUUGCCUCUAAGAAGCAGGGACCCAUACGCUAUGGCGGCUCCAGCAUGACCCUGCAGAAAAGUUGACAGCACAGUGGAGAAAGUUCAGCAUAAUUUCUGAUAAGGAUAAUUCCCACAGGUGAAAAGUUAGUCAAAGUUUCUUAUUGACCCUUUAAUCACUAAUUAACAGUCUAAGAUCUCAUAUAGGAUACCAUGAUGCCUGUUUGCACUAUGCAACAGACAAAACAAAAUAUUUGCUUUGUGCUUACAAAAUACACACACAUGUAUGUUUUUGCUUUGCCAGAUCACUUUGCAAGAAAUUGGCGGAAGAAUGGUACUUCAAUUUUUUUUUUUUUUUUCAAAGCAUCAUGACUAAGUAAUUACAAGUUGCACUACAAGAAGCAGAUAGAUGAAAGUUAUUACCCUCUCAGAAGCCCUAUGGAAACACCAUAUAGCAGAUGCAACAUCUUUCUUCACACAAUCUCCAGUCAAAUAGACAGCACCUAAGAGGUAAAGAGCACCUGGAUGCAACUAGAUAUGUAGACAGCUUUGAUAAGCAUAUUUGGCAGACUGUAACUAGGCUAUGGUAUAAGAAUAAUAUCUAGCACAACAUACCUGGUCGACUGCCUUCUCUAAAUAGUAGAAAGCCUGUUGAUCUGAUUGAACAUAGUCAUUCUGUGAAAAUCAGUUCAGUCAGCAACGCAAUUACACACAUAUCAGCCAAAAUAUUUUUGGGUUUCAACUAGUGCUUGUCAAUCAAAUACACCAUUUCUUGAACUAAAAUGCUAACAUGCACAAUUCUAUGCACAUGAAAGCUAACCUCAACUCUGAGUCGGCAACCUAAUUCAUAUUGCGCAUCUUUAUCACCCAUGUCAGCAGCUUCCACUAACAAAGCAGCUCCUCUGUUGUGAUUGAAGAAAAACAGUAAGACAUGUCCAUGAAGAUGAAAUAGCAGAAAUAUAAGAGAAAUGAAUAUGGUUUCACAUGAAUAGCACAACUCCGUGGAAAUUCAAUGGACAAAACAUGUAGUCGAUCAUUUUUUGUCUUUAGAAUUGGAAAUCAAUUCUAAAUGUCCAAAUGAAGAUAAAUUGUGGAAUUUAUUCGAUAAAUUUCAAAGCAAAGAAUUCUAGUUCAAUGAAAAACAUAUGGCAAAGAAAUACAUAACUAAUCAUAUAACAUACUUAUUAUACACACUCUCUCCAUUUCCAAAUGGAUCGUUUAAGAGGGAAAGUACAACAUCCUAUCACAAAACGGGUGUGCAAAUGCAUCUUGGACUAUAAUAACUGGUCAACAUCACACUAAUCAUUACAAUUGUUUGGAAAAAACAAAACAACAGAAUUACAAUUGGACUUUUUUAAGACAAUGAUUUUGUGUUGGUUACCAAUAUUUAAAACCUGAAAGCAUCAAUCAUAACAGAAGAAAAAAGAAAAAUCAAAAUUAAAGGCAAAUUGGAAAAGUUUAGGUUCUUACAUAGCUUUACAUGCACCAGGGGCAUGAUAUUUCAGAUGCAGUUUUGACAACCAAUAUCUUGCAUGGGUGUUUGAGUUGUCAGCCUCUAGGGCCAAUUCAAAGUUCUCCUUUGCUGUCUAAUAUAACACCGUAAAAGAGUAAAAAUUUGCAAAACAAUGUGAGAUCUCUAGGGCACAGAAAAUUCUCAAUAUAAAAAUAUACAACUAUAUCUUCUAGUUGGAAAUAGAGACAGUAUAGUUUCAGGAAUACCUCCCCCCUCGCCCACCCCCCCCCCCAACAACCAAAAAUACCAAAAAAAAUAAAAAUAAACAAGAGGAAAAAGAACUACAAAGAGAAAUAAAAAGUUAUGCAGGAAAAAAUGGUCAAUCAUGGGAUAUCUCCACUUGCUUCUAUUUCUAAGAUCUUUCAUUUACUUAAACAAGCCUGACAUAAUCUCAUUUAGCUAAUGAAUUACAAUCUCUUACAAAUGUGUUCGCAAACAUCUUAGUCCCCAACGCUACACGAGUAAAUGAGUGAAAAUAAAAUCCUACCUAAGUUCAGCCUUGGAAAUUGUGCAUAUAAAUUUUAUUACUCCUAAUUUAUGAUUAAUAAUGAUAGGGUGAUUAUUAAUGAUGUCCUUUCUAGGGUUGUACGGGACAUUGGCCAGGCAGAAGAGACAAUGAGAUUAAGAACUACUGGAACUCUCAUUUGAGUAGAAAACUGCACAAAUUCAAGAAGUCAGAUAGCAAAAGUAGUCCACCACCAGGUCCACCACAACCAGCAGCAGAGGUGAUGGAUUUAGUUAAGCAUGGAGGCAAAGCAUUAAAGAAGCGAAAAGCCAGUCAAAUGAAUCAAUCCAACAUGAGGAAGAACAGAAGGAGCACCAAUCCAUCACAAUCAAAAGAAUUAACGGGACUGGCUGAUGCAAUGGUUCAAAUGCCGCGUACCCCAACACUUGAUAAAGAGACUUUGUCUAGUGCAGUCUCUUGGGAAGAUGGAGAUACGAGUAAAACUCAUGGUUUCCAGUAGUAUUAUGAUGGAACCAUGCCCCAAAAAAGAGACCAGAAAAUUUGGCAAGCACUACUAGAACCAGUGAUGUAUGCACCCCUGAAGACGGAGAAACCAAGAGCAGUGUGAUGUUGCAACUUGAAGGUGAACUGAUGACAAGGGGUUCUGAUGGAGUUGUGGAAUUAUCCACAAAGGCCAAUUUGGAAGAAAAGGCCAAAAGGAAAAAAAACUACUUACUCUGUAGUCAGAGCAAGAGAAACCAAAAAGGACAAUUUGGAAGACUAUCAUCACAUCUAUGGCUGUAUCAUCAGUCCUAUGGUUGACUAGAGUGAAUCAGAUGUUAAAAUAAUCCAAUUCCAAUGUCCAGAUCUUGAAGGUUCAUAGCAAAAAAUUCCACCAAGAUAAAUUCAAUAUCAACAGAUAAAAGUGACUUAUCAGAAUUUUAUCAAAAUAUCCAAAAGAAAAUGUUUAACCAAGAUCAGGAAAGAAAUUUAUCAGCUAAAAGUUUUGCGUUAUCUUCAAUGCAUCAAUCGCACAGUAGACAUUUAUGCAGAGGAAAUGCUGCAAAAUCCUCUGCCACUUGUCUACAAGCUACCAAAUGUAAGGAUGGGAAUAACACAAUUGAUGUACUUAAAUAUGAAUGCAGUGAGAAUACUUGAUCAAACUUACCCUAAGCAUAGGGAUGAGACGGUGGUCAUUAAGAUCACAAUAAUCUAUCACUCUAUCAACUUCCUUCAGAGCAUUCCAUCCUUUGGCAAUGAACUCCAUUGCUUUCUUGUUUCUACUAUGCAUGCCUCUCUGUCAAGUAUAACAAGUUAAGUCUAGGUACUACAACUCAUAUAACUCCUCCUGCUAGUAUUGCAAACUUACUUGAGAAUUGAACUGGGAAAAAUGAAGGCUAUUCCUUGUAGAAGCCGUCUUUGAGAGCAGUAAUCUCAUCAUCUUUUCCGUGUCUGCACUUGGAAAAAAAAAUGAAUGUACUAAGAUCCAGACACUGGAGCAAACACCAUAACCUUUCUAUUUGCCAACAUCAACGCUAUGCACAUAAGAUGCAAACAAAAACUUUGGCUUCCCUAAUAAAUGAAUUUAAAAAUAUGACAUACUUGUACAUUGAAAUGCAGAGAGGCAAGGAAAACGGGAAAAGUUAAAAGAGAUAUUCAGGCAUAAUAAUUUCUAGUAAUGCAAGCCUUAUCUCGACCUCACCUCAGGCACCCCAACCCCAAUUAACAAAUGUCCACCUCGCUAGUUCAAUGCAUUUUUUCUCACUCCCGUGCUUUUUUUUCUUUUUUGGAUCGUCCAAUACAUUUUUCUUGCUCCUGUGUUUUUUGUUAUUUUUUUCUCCUCCUCCUUUUAAACACCACAAAAUCUUAAGCAAGAGGUGAGCUACUGCACUGGACUGGACAUAACCACAAACACCUAACGCGCAUUAUAUGAACUGCACCUACGCAUACAAGGAAAAAAAUUUCCCUAGUUCCUCAUUUGAUACAACGCGAUAAUAAUACCUUUAGGUUGUCUCUCUCCCUGGCUUUUGAGACUUCAAUGGCGGAAUGAUAUCUUACUUACUAGGCGCUCAGCUCAGCCGCCAUCAGCUUCUUGUUUCGCUGUUGGUACAGAAGAAGAAAAGGAGGAGAAAAGAGUUCGUAUGGACGGAAGGGCAAAUUUGGCGGAUAAGAUGAUGAGCUAACCUUCACGGAAAUGAUCGGGUUUACUAUUUCAUUAUUCAACAGGUGCUCUGCAUUUGUAAAAUUAGGCCCGGCUCAUGAUUCAUGGGUUCCAAAGUCGAUUGGCCGCAGUCUUGCUGGGAUUUGUUGGGCACUUGGUCUACUACUGACAGUGACACUGCUCGACUCCCAAGACGGCAUUCCUUUGACACUUGUAAUGUUGUACUACUAAUUGCUGUAUCCUCUUUUGUAAACCGACAUCUUUUCCUAGGCCGGAAACCAUCCCUCAUUGGCCCAAAAUUAGCCAUAAACAAUCUGGAUGUCGUAAUCCAUGCACCUUUUGGAUAUAAACUCAUACAAUCUUAUUAUAAAAAAUUAAAUUAAUUAACGGAUAUAAUUAAAUUUAUGUAAAAUUUAUAGUAAUUACAACAAAAUUAUACAAGUUUUUUUCAAAUUUAGUAAAAAUUACGCGAAGUAGUCUGAACAGGAACUCAGGAGACGCUGGAUGCAAAGAAUCGAUUAAUCCAAAGAGUUUUUCCCUUUUUUCAUCCUAAGGUUAGUAAACGAGAUUAGGGUGAUGCUGAGCAAGUAGUUCAACUCGAAACCGCGAGCUAUUCUGUCAACAACAGCUUGAUUCAAUCUCGUUUUGAUUGAAUUUGAGCUGCUUGUCUGAUCCCGUGAGUCGAGUUCGAAUUUCAAUAUUUUGUAUCUGAAGAUUGGAGGAGUCUAAUCAAGCUUUUUAUUAUUUAUAUAUAUUUAAUUUUUAUAUUUAUUAUUAUGAAAUGUCAAUAAUAUUAUUUAUUUAAAGUUACAUGUAAAACGCUAAUUUUUAUCACGUAAGUUUGAUUAAACUCGAUUAUGUUCGAAUAGAUUCGAAAUUAAAUUUAAUUAAAUUCAAACUUGAGAUCAAGUAAUAUAAAUUGAAAUUGAAUUCAAGCUUCGCUUCUAAAAAUUCAAUGAGUUCGAACUUAAUUAUUUUAUCUCGAAUAUUGCACUGUUUGAAUUCGACUCGUCAAAUAAAAUGAGUAGAAAAAAUCUGAAUUGGGGUCCCACGUUAAUAUUCCACGCCACCUGCCCAUGAGCCACGAAGAGAUUGCUCUUCUUUAACGUGUUUAAAUGGCUAAGUCUGAUUGGGACAAGGGAGAUACUGAACUUUCGUAAUAAUGGCCUGUUUGGAACCUGAGUUUUUUGGGAGUUUGUCUAAAACUUUACCAUAGUACACUAUAGAAGUUUUUGAAAAAAUUUUGUAGAAGUUUUUGUAAGGUAAAAAACUUUUUUUUUCUUUUUUUUUUCCUUUUCUUUUUUUUUUCUCUUUCCCUUUCUUUUUCUUUUUCUUUCUUUCCCUUUUCUUUUCUUUCCUCUCUUUUUCUUCUUCUUCUUCUUCUCCGUCACCUCCGCACCCCCAGCAGCUCCCUCCCCCCUGCUGCCCCGCCUUCCCCCUCCUCCCGCCACCUGCCCCUUCCCCCCCCCUCCGCCACCUUCUGCCCCUUCCCCUCUACCCCGCUGCCCCCCCUCUGCCCCGCCUUCCCCUUUCCCCCGCCGCCCUCUCUGCCCCCCCUCCCCCGCCGCCCCCCUUUGUGCCCCCCUCUGCGUCGGACGUAGAGAGAAAAAAAAAAAAGACAAGAGAGGAUGAUGGCAGGGGAGGAAGAGGGGGGGAGGGAAAAAGGGGGAAAAAAAAUUCUUGUCCGGCACCGGAAAUUGGUGACGGAGCCGGCAAUGGAGGUGGUGGUGGGGGAGGAAGAAGAAGAAAAGGGGAAAGGAAUUUUUUUUUGUUGUGUUUUGGAUAUUUUAAGUGUGUAAGUUAAAAAUUUUUGAUAAAUUUUUUGGGGUUCCUGCAACAAAAGUUGUUAAAAAACUAGUUUUAUACAAACAUGGUGAAAAACCAAGCUUCCAAACAGGGUUAUCACUCUUGAAAAAAAGGAAAGUCAAAGGUCAAAAUUAGUGCAAAACUAAAUGGUCAAUACAAGAGCAAAAGUGAAGGGACAGAAUUGCCAUUUACUAAUUGCUUUGUCAGCAUCGCUAACAUCACCGCGUUUUAAUAUAAUCUAACUUCCAAAAACAGCGAAUUUCCCGGCAUUACAAAUAUCAAGCUAAGGCCUUCCCUUGUCGCUCCAACAAACACCAAAUAGGCAAGUAACCAGCUCUGCUAAAAAUAUUUGAAUAUCCCAAAUAUCGGAAGACAAGAUGGGGGCAGUCAAUAUCUGGAACGCCAUCGAAGUUGCAGAGAGCCAUACCUCUGACAUUCCGUCGUCUUCCCUCACCAUCGACCACUCCCUACCGCCUUCCGAUAUGAAGCCGCGGAUCGUGUAAGUUUAUCUUCUUUCAUUUCCUGUUGUUUCAGAUUCCUAAGUCGUUUAAACUAAUUGGAGGCAGAUUAUUUUUGGGAUAGUUUUGUGUUUUCAGCUUCUUACGAGCUUUCUGUUGAAUAUGCUUUAAAUACAUGUGCUCUUCUGUUUAGUUAUGGCAUAAAAUUUGAGUGUUUUAUCUAAUUUACGAUGUUGGCCCAAUGGUUGUUAGCGGAUUUAAAUUCUGGAGAUUAUCUCUGUGAUCUUAGUUUAUCUCGGCGUGAUUUGAGCUGUUUCAUCUCUAGACUGACUCAUUACACGGAUUUGGGGUUGGGGGAGGGUCAGUUGAAUUGAUGAUUUUAUCAUCCUUAGUUAAAAAGAAUGUGACUAUCAAACUUCAGUGCUUUUAACAUAUGCCUCGGUGGAAGUAAUUUGUUUUGAGAUAGGAAUGUCCAAAUAAAUGCUUCAAUCUAGUAAUUUUUUGAAUGUUCUGAUGAUUUUCUCUGGUUUUACUUCAGAGAGCUGUGCAAGGACCUGUUCAAGAAGUGGUCUAAUUUGGACGAGUCUCACUUCUCUGUUGAGAGAGUUUCCGGUGGCAUAACAAAUCUAUGUAGGUUUUCAGUUUUGUGUGCUUACGAGUAAUUAAGCCAUGAGCAAUGCUUGAUUUUAGUUGGAACUCUGUGUUGCUGCGAACACUGCUUGAAUUUACUUGGAACUUAGUGUGUCUGAUAUGCAUGAAAAUUACAGUGCCUGAUUUCUGGUUAUUAAUGUCAAUAUUUUUUUUUUCUCAAGUUUAAUUACGGUUGAAUUUUAUUUGAGUAAUAGUCAUUUACUUUUUGCAGUGCUAAAGGUUUCUGUUGUGGAAAAAAACGGGAAUAUUGUCAAUAUUACAGUAAGGUUGUAUGGUCCUAAUACUGAGUACGUCAUCAAUCGUGAAAGGGAACUACAGGUGAGUCCUCAGGCUUGAUGUUGACGUGAUCAACUCAAUGAGAUUAUUCAAUUAUCAAGUGCAAUACUUGUCUGCUUUAUUUUUAUUACAAUUCUGUAAAGCCGCUUUACACUGCUAAAAUUUGAAGUUGCAUUUGUUUCUGAUGUAGUGUCAGUAACUUCAGAUGAUGCUUCUUCUUUAAAACAAAACAGUUUAUCUUUCUAAAUUUUCUGCUGAUCAUUUCGAGAAAUUUCUACUAUUUUGUGUUGUCUUAGAGAUGCUAUGUAUUCAUACGCUCACAUUGUGAUAUUCUUUUUUAUUGCUUUACUGACAUAGUAAAAGAAACAAAAAGCUGUUACAAAGUGGUUGUCUUCAUGGGAGAAAUUCUGGGUUGGCUAUCGUGAUUUUUUUAUUCUUGGAAAUUCUUUAUCACUCUGGUACUGACUGCAAUAUAUUUUUAGGCUAUCCCAUACCUUUCAGCAGCAGGAUUUGGUGCAAAGUUACUUGGAAUAUUUGCGAAUGGAAUGGUGCAGUCAUUUAUUGAUGCACGAACUCUGGCUCCACCUGGUAAAUUUUUGGAAAUGCAUUGAAGGAAAUAAACAUUUUCCAAUUACAACUCACUUGACUCAAAUUAAAUGAACUUUAAUUCAUGCCAUCUGGGUUGGCUAUUGGUUGCAUGUACAAGAAAAUGUAAAAUUGCUCCUUUUCCUUUGGGAUUUGUUUAAACUCUUGAUUUUUAAUUCAGUUUGGGAACCUUUCUAAGUUGUUCUUCUGUCUGGAAAUAAAUUUCUAGUGGCUUCUGGUUUUCGAGCACGAGUAUAUGCACUCAAAAUGCAACUUUGGAGAACAAACAGAAAUGAGUUUUUUAGUCUAUAGGUUUAGGACAUAUGUAAAUGGUCCUUCGGUAAGUUCAUGCUAUUAUUAAAGAAAAGUGGACAUUAUUUUGGAUGAACUUAAUAAAAGCUCAGUACACAGUUUAACUGGGUUGGAGAGAGUAAUUCACUAGUCUAGGUACAUGGAUGAAAAUUGUAAGGAGCCACUGACCUGAAAUUAGUUUUGACAUUCAUCCUUGCUAUGGAAAGUUUGCCUUAAAUGAUGAAGUUUGACUUUUUAACAUGGUGUGUCAUUGUUGAUAUGUUUUACACUCUUGACAGACAUGAGAGAGCCAAAGCUAGCAGCUGAAAUUGCUAAACAACUUCGUAAGUUUCAUCAGGUGGAUAUACCAGGUUCUAAAGAACCUCAACUGUGGAAUGACAUCUUCAAAUUCUAUGGAAAAGGUCUAUACAUGGGAUGCUAUACAUCUAUAUCCAUAUUCUACUUCCUGAAGGUUUUUGCUCAUUUAAAAGCAUUAUGUCUGUCUUCCCUUGUUUUUGGUCAUGUCUGAGUUGCUUUUAUUGUUGAAUGCAGCGUCAAACCUCAACUUUGAUGAUUUUGAGGAGCAGAAGAAGUAUGAAACAAUUUCAUUUAAAGAAAUAAUUAGUGAAAUCAUUGAGCUCAAGGUAUUAUCUCCUCUGACUUCUUGUAUCAUCUGUAAUCCAAUAUGUUUCUCUUUCUUCCUCUUAUGGAACUGGGUGACUUAUCAUGACAUAUCUUUCUGUAUAAUAUCUUCUUGUCCAUAAAUUUUGGUGUAUGCGUUUUGCGAAGACUAUUGGCUAUGAUUGAGUGGUAGUGAACAUUGCAUAUGCAAAGGAAGAAUGAAAAUAUAUUGGUUUUUUUGUUAAGUUGGGUUUGAGAUUCUGAUGUUUGAUUAUAGCAAUCUUUGAGGAAUAUCUCUCUAGUAAUGCAGUCCGUUUUAUCAAGUUGAUGGCAUAUUGUCAUUAAAUUGUUGAAAAGUGUUUGUUUGGAUUGGUUAUUAUUUGCAAAAAAUUUUUGAUUGCAUCAUAGAUACGUUUCCAAUCACCUUUUAUCUUUCCAACCGCAUUUUUAUCUCAUAUAUCACAAAAAGUGUUACAGUGUUAUUUAAGAAAAUUUCCAAAUAAUCUACUAUCUGAACAGACGCAGCCACCUAAAAAGUUGUCAAAAUAGGAUUUCAUGCUGAAGUCAAAGCAUGGUUUGGCUUUUGAAUACACAUUUAUGAGUUUCUGAUGAUUUUUAAAUUUCCUUCUUCAAAUGUUUUUCCCUUUUUUUUUUUAUUUGAGUAUUCUUUUGGAAAUGUUUCUCUGUAGAUAUAUCAAUGGAGAAUGAUUCUUCCCUUUCCCGGAGUCAUGAAGUUAUCUGUGGCAUGAUAAGCUAUUAAUUUUUGCUUGAAACAAUUUCUGUUUUACACUGUUUAUUUUCCUUUGUAUCAAUUCUAAACCAGCAGUUUUGUAUAAAUUUUCUAAAAUAGAUAAUUUACUCGGCUCUAUGACAGAUUGAAUUUAGUUCUUUCUGUCAUUCAUCAUAAAAGUGUCCGUGUGUUGUGGCUAUGUCUUGGAGUCAAGCUUCAGUGUGGGAGCAUGUUACCCUGUUUAAAUCGAUACAGUAGUCUUCUCUCCAUAGGUUCAGUUUCACAUGAUGUGGUAAAUAUAUCUUUGUGGAACAGGAAUUGACUGGAUGUCUUGAUGCCCCAGUAGUCUAUGCUCAUAAUGACUUGCUUUCAGGAAAUUUGAUGCUUAAUGAUGAUGAAGGUAUUUAUGCCCAAACCUAAUGGUUUUUCUGUUGAGACUUCGCACCCCUUCCUAAUGUUUUCCUGUUGGGGGUGCUCUAUGUAUGCAUAAAUGUGCACACCCACAAAUUAACUCCCAUUUCCUUUGUUUCCAUUUAUUUGUUGUUUUCUAGAAACCUGGACAAGUUGCACCGCAUCAUUGCAUCUAUCCUUUUGCCUAAAAUGCAAUAUAUUAGUUAUGGGUUCAGUCCUGCAAGUUGAGAUACUGUAGGCUUGAGUUUUUCCAGCUAACUUAUAAAAUUCAUUAUGAAGCACAGGCCUCUGAAUCAUGUAUGAUAUUAAACUUGACUAGGAAAUAUCAGUUCUCUAGCUCAUUUGGCUUUGCUUGAUUGGCCACUGUCUAGUAGUGAAUGGGAACAUGUCGAAUAAGGAUUUUGGUCGAAAAUAGUCGUCUUUUUCUUAAGGGGUGAUGCGUAAAUGGUUCUUCAUGGGAAGUCUGGAGAUUAACCUAUUCUCAACAUUCAUUCUGAAUUAGUAGUUGAUACCACUAUUUCAAUUUGACCAAUGACUGUCUUUUGAUGAAUGUGCAGAAAGACUCUACAUCAUUGAUUUUGAGUAUGGAUCAUAUAGUUACAGAGGUUUUGACAUUGGGAAUCACUUUAACGAAUAUGCUGGCUAUGAUUGUGACUACAGCUUGUAUGUCAUUUCAAUCUUCUCUUCCACUCAUUUGAUGCUAUAAAAAACUUGAGGUGAUAUGGAAAAUUUAUCUGCAUGUAGGUGCCCAAACAAGGAUGAACAACAUCAUUUCUUCAGACACUAUUUAGACCCUGAAAGACCAGAGGAGGUAUGUGUUUACUGUAAACUCAUUGUACUUGCCAUUAACAAUUUUCUUUUUCAGGCUAUACAAAGUUGUGUGUUCUAAAAACUUAACCUAGAUAGGCUGUCUCCAACUCGUAAGAUGUGAGCAGAUCUCAUGGCUUGAUGGUUGUAUAUAUUGGUGAAUUGGAUUUUUUUUUGUUUCUUCCCACCUGAAAUACUAAAGUGGAUUUCUGCUAUGUAUUUUAGGAAGUUAACUGUGAUGGCUGUCAAAUGCCAAUUGCAGGGAGAUGAUUGUAUUUCUCCUUCUUCUUCUUGGCUUUACUCUAGCAGAAGUAUUGAUGACUGACUUGCUGUUGGUUAUGGACCUGGUCUUUGCUGCUACUUAAUUCAGUUUCUGUUACUUUAGGCUUUGUUACUACGCUGCUUUCAAAUAUCAUCCUUUGUAACACUAGUUCGAUUUUUUGUAUGUAAUCUGUACAAUUCAGCUUUGGUUACUAAAGUAUGGUAAAGUAGUUUGUACAUAUGUGGUUCAAGAUCAUUCUAUGUUGUUACCUUUAUCCCAUUCUGUUCUUUCAUCCACAUUAACCAAACCAGAUUGCAGAAUGAUUUGAGAUAUACAAUUAUUUCAUCAAGUAAAAGCAUUAUUGUCAAUUUGAAAAAUCACAUGUCCGGGAUUCAUAUAGGAAGAUGGACGAAUGUUUUAGUUACAAUAAGCAACUUGUCGUCAUAAGCAUUUGGGACAGUAAUGUGUUUCUGAUGUGAAUACGUAGGUGCUCUGACAAUUUUAUUUCUAGCUUCAUUGAUGGUUAACAUCUUUAGCAUAUAAGAAACUCGAAAUGUGUCUCACGAACUUUUUAUGCAAUUUGCUGAACAUGAAAUUAGUCAACUGAGUUGCCUUUGACAUCAGGUAUCUGACAAAGAUUUGGAAGCUCUUUAUAUCGAGACAAAUAUGUACAUGUUAGCAUCACACUUGUAUUGGGCGUUAUGGGCUUUAAUCCAGGUAAUAUUUCUUUGCCUUCAUUAGUGAGCGGUGUUUUCAGCAUCCCCUUGACUGCUGGAAUAAAUAUAGCGAAUGUAGGGAACAGUCAGAGUUGAAGAAAUUUUGUUUAACUAUUGAGUAUCACACUUUUCACAGGCAAAAAUGUCUCCAAUUGAUUUCGACUAUCUUGGUUAUUUUUUCUUGCGGUAUGGCGAGUUCAGAAGGCAGAAAGAAACCUGUUUCUCAUUGGCAAAAGCAUACUUGUCAAGAUCUCACACACGGUGAACCAUUGGUUUUACAAUUCUAGGUAUGCUGUGAUUCUUUUGUAUGUUGUGAAAGUCAUAGUAAAGCAGUAGAUCUCUCUUUGUUGUUGUUGUUGUUUGUCAGUUAGGACUUUAAAUAUUUCUUGUAGACUGGAAAACCAAUUGUGUUUUUCCAGAUAUUCGUAAUAAAAUUUUGUAGUAUUUCUUUUUCAUGCGUCAUAUUUGUUAUUGAUUAGUACUAGCCUUUCGGGGGCGCGUGUUGUCGAGACUUUCUGCGUUUUGAAAUUUCAUUCCUAUUUUUGUUUGCAUCGUGGGUUGAGGUAAAAUCUGUUUGUCACUCCGUUUGAAAGCUCGUGAUUUUGAACGUAGCACUUAGUGGCAUCUGGCUGGGAGACGACAAUCUUAAUUGCACAAUAAUGCCCCGAGGAUUCUGUCACAUGCGUAAUCAGCAUAUCUAGAAAUCUUUUUUCCCCAUUUCAAGGAGAUAGAAUCAACACUCUUAAAUCGUGAUGGAAGAAUAAAAAUUACCCUAGAAUGCCAGCAUGUAUGUAGCUACCGUAAGAAAAACGGGUUUUUAUUUUUAAUUACAACAAGAUCCUCUUUGAGAAGCCGCCCAGUCUCCUAGUCCUGAUAUGCUUCUAUGUCGAACUCUUAUGCCUCGAUCUUCUAACCCCUCAGAAUCUCCACCUUGGACGGUCUUAUGUAUCGCUAUGGCUGUGCUUACGAACGCUUCUUCAACAUUUUGAGCAGUCCUUGCUGAGCACUCGAUGAAUAUUAAACCAUGCUUCUGGGCAAAUUCUGAGCCUUCUUCGGUGCUGACGGCCCUACUGCCAUCCAAGUCAGACUUGUUGCCUAUCAGCAUUAUGGUCAUGUUUUUGUUAGCAAGUUCCUUGAGGUCCUUCAACCAAGAAGCAAGAUGAGCAAAACUUUCCCUGCUCGUGACAUCAUAAACUAGGACUGCCCCAGCAGCACCUCUGUAGAAACUCUGCGUUAUUGACCUGAACUUCUCCUGGCCUGCCGUGCCCCACACGUGAAGUUUUGUUUUCUUCUUGUCCGCUCUGAUGAUUCUAGUUCCAAACUCAGCACCCAUGGUCGGAUCGUGCCCCUGUUCAAAUCGUUUGCUGGUGAACUGCUUAAGAAGGCACGAUUUACCAACUCCGGCAUCUCCUAUUACAAUGUAUUUGAAGAGAUAAUCGUACGACAUCUUGGAUCGAAUUGGAAUAAUGCACGAGUAUUAGCAACGGCUGGAGGUUGUAUGUAUAGGUUGAAACUAGAGGAGAUACAUGGGUUUAUGUACUGGAAUAGAAGAGAGAAUUUACUCCUUCCUAUACGUACAAGGAUCCUAACGUAAAUCGGAGAUGGAUUAGGAGACGUCAGAGUUGGAGAGACCAUCGUUAAGGAUUCAUUAUUGUGUUGGUUUACGUUUUUUUUUUUCUGGAAAAUCGAUUCCCUCCUAGAAAAGGAUUUGCACAAUCAAAGAAGUUUGUAAUUCGAUGGUAGUUCAAUCCAUCUGCACAAUCAAAGAAGUUUGUAAUUCGAUGGUAGUUCAAUCCAUCGACUCCGUUAUAGGUUCAAUUGACUCUCCUCUAAAUUAGACUAGAAUAGAAAUAGAAUAGAUAAAUGACGAAUGACAAAAAAACAAACAGUGUGUAGUAACACUGUUGUUCUGUAGGAUGCGAUGCUAUACUUAAGCAUGCUUCCUUGGCAUUUUUAUUUUUUAAACCCUUCCACCCAUUUCCACAUCCUUUUCACGUCCAAUUGCUAAGCAUAGAAUUUGAACCCUAAACCCAAGAAAUAACUGUAAGAACCCUUCCCUGAUCAUUGAGCUAAACAUGCUUGAUAUUAAGCAGGCUCAAUUGAAAAAAAAAAUCCAAUUCUUAUUCAUGAAACGAGUAUAAAGAAGGAUAUCCAAAUUAUCUAUUUGCCUUUACGUAUUUUAAUACCACAAUUAAUAUGAUCAGGUAUUUGCUGAAGAAGAAAGCGGCAUAUAUUUAACCAUUCUACCCAGAAAAUUUCCAAGAACUUUUCCUGCCACAACAUUUUGUAGCUUAGAGAAGCAAAAAUGAGAGAUUAACAUCUAAUAGUUUAAUUAAUAUUCAACUAGGCUCACAUUAAACAUCCCAUUUGAAUCAGACGCAUUAAACAUCCAAUUUGGCUCAAAAGCCAAGCACCAUAUAAGCCGGGAAAUCAUGACAGGCCAAGAGGCCACGGCACCGAUGCUAACUAAUGGAAUUGCAAUAUGUACAACAGAAUGAAGACUUUAACCAGUUUGAGAUGCCGCAUCCAUACGUAGAACAACCAUGUAUCACAAAACCUUUGCUCUGCUUCUUCAGUCUAACAAGUAAAACCACCAUUGUUAUCUACCCAGAGUCUAGAGAGGACAGAACUAAAUUAAUCAUACAUCUACGAGGACAAACCUUGCUUGUCAAAAGCCAUAUAGUUAAGAGCAUAUCAAAUUGGGGAAGCAAAUAAGGAUAUAAAUAUUUUGAACCAUUUCUAUUUUCCAAGUGUAGUUACAAUCUUCAAGCCUGAAGAACCUGGCAAUGAACUAUAUGAUGUUUAACACGAUUCCUACCUGCAAGGCCUGACAAGAAAUUUGUAACCAAAGUCUUCAACUGCCCUUUUCCCGAAAUAGUUUCCCAUAAAUGUUCCGCUGGGGCUCCACUCCUACUGUCAUCAGAUUUGGAAACAUCAACCACAGAAAUACUCAUGUUGUUCCGGAUGAUGCACAACUUUCCAUUCAGAGGGAGGAGUGCAGCUGCCUCCAAAGCUUUGGAAUUACCCAAAUGCAUCUUACUAUCUAUGUGCUUGCUCCAAGAAUCAGUUGCUUCAUCAUAUACCCUAAGUUUGCAGCCAUCCUUACACUCCAAUGCAUACAGAUGCCCAUUCAUUGAAGUGCUAGGGUUCCUCCAGCCUGCUACCAUUCCAUCAUACACAGGGUACCACCUGUCAGUUUCGGGUUGGUAGAGCUCACUAAGAACCUGUCGAUGAGAUCCUAGCCCCUUCAAGAACCACUUGCCCUCAUAAACAACACCAAUGAAGGGCACCAUUGCUGUACUCAUCUCACAAAUAAUGGACCAUCUGUUCUUGUUGGGAUCAUAAACUUCAGCUGAUCUAAGUGACCGAUGAAUCCCGUCAUUUUCUCCACCAGCUACAUAUAAACAGUUAUUUAUAACACAAGAGCCAAAGAAAUGCCGCCUUUGAAGCAUAUCUGGUGCCCGGUGCCAUUUAUUUGUUCUUGCACUAUAAAAGAUGACUCUUCUCAUUGAUCCCUUCACCGGGUCUUUACCACCAAAUAGGUACAGGUGACAGCCACUGAGUACAGCACAUCCAAACCCAAGGGCUUCUGAAUAUUCUUUAGGAACAGGUGGAAGAGGUUGCCACAGCUGAUACAUAGGAUCAAAAGCAUGCCAUGAUAUUUUACCAUCUCGAUCUCUCUUCAUAAUGUAUAUCCAUUCUUCUGCAAUCCCUAGAUUUUUCCGAAGAGAAUAGAAGAAGUUACCAGCCAGAAGACGAUACCAUCUCUUGCAGACUAAUCGGAGUUUGCGAUGUUCAAUUCUUGGGACCCGAAUUAAGCAUGCAAUGGCAAGAUCAUCUGGAAGUCCUGGCAAUAACGGGGAUUGGCUACGAUUUUUGUCUCGUGGUGGUUUCUGUCUAGUAGGGUGAAUGGAAGGUUUGAUGUCAGGUUGAAGACAGAGCUUUGUUCCAGGAACAUACUUUUUAGCUCCUGCAACAGUUUUGAGGCCCGCAUCAACUCGACAAAGACACGCUGUUGUAUCAACCUGCAAAUGUACAAUUAUCAAGAAGAAUUCGAUUGUUCAACAUUUCUCUCCAUGUCAAUGACUUGGACGUUAUAGAUAUUCAGUUGUAAUUCAUGAAGUACACAAACAGGCACUUUAGUAAACCUUUACCAAAUAUAACAACUAAAAAUAAUCACUCAAACUAGUCAGAAAAUCUCAAUAAGAUUGAGACACCUGACUCUAAAUGUAUGUUUUCAUUUGUGCUUAAUAUACACUGCAAUAUUGUAGCUUCGCAGAACAUUCUGGUCCAAAUAUCUUCUAACCAGUUAAUAUGUGAUCAGAACAUGCUUGUUUGAACAAUUAUCCACCACUUGGUGAAAGAUGACAUUUAAGUUUAAUUCAGAUUUAGCUACCCUUCAAUGCAUUAUCAUGUCUAACUUCUAAAAUUGAGAUGUUUGGCAUGAAGUCAAAGUGUUUGACCAAGUAUGCUACAAGAAAAAUAUGAGUAAUCUAACAUGUACAAUAAACUAAAACUCGUGGCACAAGAAUACUGCCAGAUACUUCCUCUACCCAUUAGGACACUACCCAAACAGGGCGCCCCCCCUUGGUGGCGUUUUUUUUUUUUUUGGGGGGGGGGGGGGAGGGUGUUGAAGGGAGCUAAUUUAUAGUAGUGAAACUCUUCCGUUCUCAAUUUCUAUUGAGUCUUAAAUACACCCACAUCAUGACAACAUAGUUUGCUCACGGCGAAACCUCAUUUAGAUUAGGUGGUGACAAAAUCCUAAAUAAUGCAUCCGAAAUCACAAAAUAGGAAGGAAAUAGAGAAAGGAUACAUGUACAGACUUGGCAACUUAAAAUGGGAAAACAAACUAAUGGAGCUCUAGUUUUGGAGGUAAUUACUAGAGAUGUGAGGCACCCGAAUUUUCCAAGUACCAUAUCAAUUGGUAAUGGAAUUAUUUUUUUAUUAUGCAUCUUAUUCCAAUAAUUAGCAAUCAUCCUAUCAUAUAUGCAUCGCGAAAUAUUUUUUAAAGAAAUCAGAGGACAAAAAAUUCCACAAAUGAAAGCAAGACAACUUCGUUCUCCUAUAAGCUACUCCUACCAAGAUAAUGAAAAGUAAUUGGAAAGAACACAAAGAGAGUCCAGAUUUUACCAGGGGAGGCUGAAGCAUCCUAUCCAUCCUUGGACAAUAAUCACUCGGAAAUUUACAACAUCAUUUGCAUCUACACUAACGCAACUCCAAUUCUCCGCAUCUUCAAAAACCCAUCUCGAAAAUCAAAAACCCACAAUGAAUGAUCUCACAUUUCACAGUUUCAGGCAUCAUAGACGGGGAAUCCGAACCCUCAAAAGUCUUAUAGUCUUUGAAACAAGCCCUAAAACCGCAAAUGCGGGACAGCCAGAAAAUGCGAGAAAGCACUCAAGAAAGACAGAAGACGAGACAGAUAGAUAGAGACCCUCCCUUCCACUUCCUUUCACCCUCACAAGCCCCUCAAUCUCUCACUAUUGAAAGAUUCAAGUGGAAAAUUGGGCCCAUAAACUCAAAUGGCACAACCUACCAAGCACAAGAGUGUGUACAACAAGAGACCAAAAUCAAAGAAGAAAAAUAAAAAGGAAAAAGGCAAAACCUAAACCAUGGAUGAGGAAGAUGAGCUGGGUGACAUAUUUGGCUACUGUUUUUAAAAUUGGUAAAGAGGAUUGAAAUAGUCUAAUAAGUAGUCUUUUCUGAUUGUAUGACAGCUGCUUCUUCUUCACCUGUUCAUGCCUUCUUUUUCAAUUGUUUACUAAACGUAUAAUUACCAACAGAAAAAAGGCGUCCAAAUGAUAAUUAUUUAUUCAUUGGAAGGUUAAUUUUGUCCGAAUACGUACUAUAAUUCAAGAAAAUGUCACAUACCAACUGACCAAGUACUAGUUGCACAAUGCAAAUUUAAAAAAAGAACUUCACUACCUAGUACCUACCAAGAUUCCUAUCUUUGCCCUUCAUCGUACCUAAUUGAAAAUUUUAAUCACAAAAAAUAUAAAAAUUUUUUGAUAAACAAAUUACAAUCCAAACACAUUGAAUUAAAGCUUUUUAAAUAUUUUUUUACUCCGCAUGAAUUAAAUCGCUAUAAUAUAUAUUUUUUUACUAAAAAUUCAGACAAUGACAACCCAAAUUAACGAAAGGUGACUAAAGAAAUCAAAUGUGGUGUCAAUAAACAAGGAGUUUGUUUGGACAGGAGGUUAUUUAAAAUAUUUAUUUGAAAUAAUUACUAUAGCAUUUUUUGUGAUAUGAUGUAUGUGAGAUAAAAAGUUAGUUAGAAAUUGUGUUUAUGAUAUAACUAGAAAAAAAAUUUGAAUUUUUGUUUGCCUUCUUUCUAGAUCAUUUAUAGAAAUUGAAUAGGGGAAUAAUUUUCGAAUAUAUAUUAUUAUUGUUUGCUGAAAGCGAAGACUGUGGAAUACGCAGCAUUGAAAAGAAGUCUGUAUAAAGAUUCAAAAAUUUGGAACAUUGUCCCACAAUUUGUCAAUUCUAACAAAUGUGCCUUAAAGUAGGAGAAAUUUUCCACUGUGUCUGGGCCCAACAUCCAUCAUACUUGACUUGCUCCACUAAGGCUGAUUUUUGGUCAUGGAAAGAAUUUGGGUCCACCCUCCAGCACUUUGAUCCUAUUGGAUACUUGAUUUUCUACCUUUUUUUUUUUGUUUUUUUUUUGGUAACUCGGAACGGGUCUCAACCCGAAUCCUUAGGAUCCGAGCCGGCACACCAAAUCUGAGGGAAGCCGAUAGCCCCAUACAGCUUUUUCGGACGAGUUAAGAUGUGCAGCGUAGCGAGCACAAAUCGAACCCGAUCAGUGAAAAAGCCGGCAACUCAAGGCUGAUCCCUCAACCGCUGCGCCAUAUGCCCUGGGACCUUGAUUUUCUACCUUCCGAGUAAUGUGCGGCAAAGAGGGGGAAAAAAAAAAGGGAAACCCAAAAAUGAGGGGAUCUAUUUGGAUGAGAUUGCUGCUAAUGGCACGGCCCAUUGCACUAAUGUCCAAUAAACUUGGAAACACAUAAAGAUCGGAUCCGUGGCAUCAUAAACGAAUCCCUAGUUAGUCCAGUAAACGUAAUUGAACUUUGAACUCAAAAGUGGGGAGAAAAGGGAAUUUGUGAUUGUGCAUGCUCUUGCUCGUGCAUUGCCAUAUCUUUUCCGGUUUUUGCAAAAUCAUCCCAAAUGAUUUUUAACCAAGAAGCUGAGCUUAUAUGAUUGAUUGGGCGAAAGAGUGUAGUAGCGCCGUGUGUGGGUGUCCCUUUGCACCUUCCAUUUAUUGCACUUACGUGAAAGCGUAGUCCUUGCCAAACCUAAUUGCCUUGAUCAUUACUGUCACUGUCCAUGAACUUUUCCCUUUCAGUUUUACUUUUACACACCUACUCGUUUUUGUUUUUCAUGGAGGAUGGAGAGGAGAGGAGAGGAGGGAGGGAGUUAAAAGACACCCUAGAGGACUUGUCAUUUUUGCUGUCCAAAGGAAACUAUUACUGGGAGAAGAAGCAAAUCUCUGUGAUUUGCUUCAACUCGUGCAUGCUUUUUAAUUCAAUCCAUUAUCCAUCUGCCAAAAAUUUAAAUCUAAAAUAAAUGUCUUCUAUCUACACCAUUUUCUGUUCCAACAUCUGUCAAAUCACCAUAUAUCCUUUAUAAUUAUCUUAUUGUAAUUCUUUUUCUUAUCCCUUUUAAGUUUCAACGAUCACUUUUUUAGUUAAAUUUUUUUAAGUCUUUGAUUUUCAUAUUCUAUUCUAUUAGCAGUGUUAGAACUUAAAGGAUCAAGAAAAAGAAUUAAAAUAAAGUGUUUGUGAAUAAUAUACAGCGAUUUAAUGGAUGUUGAAAUACGAAAUAGUAAAGGAAAUGGAAUAGAAGAUCUCUUUUUUUUUUUUACAACCAAAAAGCGAAUCAAUUCGCACUCCCUAUUGGAAUACUACAAAGGGUACAAGUUGCUCUUCUUUUCCUUCAUUUUUUUUUUUUUGGCCCUUUUGGCAAAACAAAAAGAAGAAAGACAAUAGCCUUUCUCGUAGUAGCAAUAAUGUGCCACUGACAAAUUACGUUCGACCUUCCAACAUAGAAAGAGUGAGAUUCCCGCUCGCAUGGUUUGCAAACUUCACUGCACAGUGCAUACAGCCACAACCACAAAAGAAGUGGAGAGGUUCCGAGGAUGACAAACAAGAAAAUCAAAACCAAAAUCACGUUUUAAAUCACUCUCUGUUUCUCUUCACGCCAAAAUCAUAUGGUUGUUUUACGCCAUUGUUGCCCUCUUGAUAAUGGCCACAUGCAUUGGUACAAACCGGCAGUCCGUUGAUUAGUUCAAGAGAAAAUUUUGAUAAAAAAGGGGCAAUAUUUCCCCUAGCUUGACCGGCACUUGACAUGACACAAAUGCAUUUACAAUUAUUAAAGUAUUUUGUAAGUGUCAUCUUCCAAUCGAAAUGGUAACUUGAAUGCUGGUUGGAAGUAACCAACAGCUAGCAUGUAAUUUUUAGUUCUUUUAACCGCGCUGCCACAAUGGCUACACUAUGACUACAACAUCAGUCAUUGACUUGGUUGGUUUGGCGGAUGGCAAAUGGGUGGGACUCAAUUGAAAUUUGAAACUGUAAAAUAUGGACUGUAUUCAAACAGUUCCAUAUUAGUCUUUCUUCUUUUUUUUUUUUUGUCGACACAGGGGUAUCCGGGUCAAUCCUUACGGGGCCCGACUAAUUCCCUGCGGCUCGGAUCCAGCGCCCCAACCCGACCCGAACACGUUAAGUGCGCGGAGGAAUCCGGUGGAGCAGAGACUCGAACUUGUGACCUCAAGGUUCACUGGUGAGAGGCGCUGCCGCUGGACCAUUCACGCAGGGGCCCAUAUUAGUCAUGGGGACUAAAAUGGGUUAGACGACCUAUUUUAAUACCGUCCAAAUACUCAAUAAAUUUCAUUUUGUUUUUUGGUAAAAUUCUUUUUUUUCCUUAAUCAGAUGCCUCAAUAUUGGUAUGUGCAUGCGUGUGUCAUCUGGUAUGUUUGUUUACCUUUGUAAAAGUUCUACACUUCUCUUUGCAUGUUGUGUGAUAGUUUUCCAAACUAUAUGUAUAUAUAAAAAAAAAAAAAAGUACUAGAUAUGAAAUUCAUAAAAGAUCAACUCUCACCAAGCCAGUAUUUGGAUAAAGUUUGAGCUUCAAAUUUUACUUGAUAUGAAAUUUUCAUUAAUUCAAAGUAUUGCUAGCCAAUAUGCAUACAAGGUAACACAAUAAUGAUUCAUCAUUACCACAAAGUGUAAGAAGUAAUCUUUGUUAUUUGUAUGCACGAGCAAGUGCUUUGAAUUCGAGAGUAGAGAUUAUUCUAGGAGGCAAAAACAUGGGUAAACUGACUUAUAGCUCAUGUGAUCCAAAUUUUGUCACAUCUUCAAUUCUUGGAUUAGUGAGAUGGUAUGACAAGCCAAUUUGGCUAAUUCCUUAGACUAUUGCUUGAAAGAAAAAAAGACGUCUACAUACGGAUCUGACAGGUAGGGGGUAUAAAUUUAUGGGUACCGGGCUGUCUCAGCCCGGCACCUGACACUUUUCUUUUUUUUUUUUUUUUUUAAAAAAUCCACAUGGGUGCCGGGCUGUCUCAGCCCGGCACCUGACACAUUUUUAGCAGGUGUGGGCUGACAGAAUUUUGUGUCGGGCAGAUUCUCCUUUUUUUUUUUUUUUUUUUAAAGCUGUGCACCAGACAGCUUUUUAAAGCCAUGCGCCCCUCCAUGCAAUUUCCUGACCCGCCAGAGCUUUUGUAUUUACGUUCUUAGCAAUUUUGCACAAAUCUAUUUUCAUCUCUUUCUUACGUUUCAACUUUGAAAUGAAAAUUAAUUAACUUAAAAGACUAAAAGAUUUAGUACUUCAGGUCGACUCAACUUUUUAUUAAACUUUUUUUUUUCUUGUUUUGAUUUUUUGAUUUUUUUUUAUGGGACAUUUAUGGAAUUAUCCUCACAAUACAAACUACGAAAAAAAUUCAGAACUUAAAUAGAUGUUCUAUGGUUAUGCAUUAUGUUCGAUUGGUAAAAUGCAUUAAUUCAAUAUAAGUACCAACAUGAGAAUGAAUACAAAUUCUAAAAUGUUACGGUUAAUUACAAUUAAUUCCAAAACCAUAUAUCUUAUUUCUCACUUUACCUCCGUAAUUUUUAUUUUUGCUCAGUUAACCCCCUAUACGAUGAAAUUACCCUUCCCAUAUUUUCAUUUUUCAUUUACCUUUUUCCGUUUACCUUUAAUUACCCUUCCUUUUUUCGUCUAUUUUAUUCUUUUUUCUCUUUCCUCUAUCUUUCGUCCUUUUCAAUAUAAAGAAAAGGAACAAUAAAGUGACAAAGAAAAUAUAAGAGCACAAAAGAGGAAGAAGAAAAUGCUAGAGGAAAAAGAGUUAAUAAUUGUAUAGGUAUAAUUGUUUCCAAUGCAAGACAAAGCGAGACAAAAAACGUUGUUAGGAGCUAAAGUGAAAAAUGAUAUAUAUUCUAAGGAAAUUAAUUAUGAUUAACGCCUAUGCUCAAUUUGUAACAAGUUCAAAUCAUCAAAAGUAGCAUCCUCUACCCUGAUCAUGGAUUCAUGAUCUUCAAUGUCCAAUGACCCAACAAGAUUAAAAAACUUUACUUUAAAAUUGCUCCUAAAUACUUAAUAAAUGCUUUUGAUACUUUUUCAUUGGUAUUAUUUGUUCGUUAUCCAAAAGUUGAGAGUUGAGCCUCUUUUAAAAGAGUUACUCUACUCUCGCGGAUGUUAAGAAUUACCCUGAACCAUUCAUAUUUCUCCCUUGCCGCCCCUUUCCCUAUCAGUUCACCAAAAAAAGCCCUAAGCGGUUAUUUUUUUUUCAAUACUAGCAAUUGUAGUGGAAAAGUUGAUUUCCCCUGUGGGUUGAUCAAAAAACCCUAAGUUGUUGUGGGUUGAUCAAAAAACCCUAAGUGAUGAAUUUUGUUUCAACCUAGCAAUUCUAGUAGAAGGUUGGAGUCACGUACGCUAAUUUUGCUGACCGGUUAUAUUUUUUUUUUUUGUUUUUAAGAAAACACCGUGGGUGUCAGUGAAAGAAUGUGUCAGUUGCCGGGCUGAGACAGCCCGGCACCCAUGUGGAUUUAAAAAAAAAAAAAAAAAAAAAAGAAAAGUGUCAGGUGCCGGGCUGAGACCAUAAAUUUAUACCCCCUGCCUGUCAGAACCGUAAGUAGACGUCUUUUUUUCUUUCAAGCAAUAGUCUAAGGAAUUAGCCGACAAAUUUUGAGCCACCGUAUCUAUAUAAACCGGGUCUAUUCAAGUAUUUGCUACACAUAGCUGGGAUGGGGUCUGCCCGAUCCCAGGGGAUAUAAACAGAAGUGUAGUUUCUUGCCAGCAUGGUUAUAAUACGAGCCACCGUAUCUAUAUAAACCGGGUCUAUUCAAGUAUUUGCUACACAUAGCUGGGAUGGGGUCUGCCCGAUCCCAGGGGAUAUAAACAGAAGUGUAGUUUCUUGCCAGCAUGGUUAUAAUACGAUCAACAGAUUACAAAAUAUUCCAGCCAGCACCAAAAGCACACACAAAUGCAGAGGUUCACUACCUCAGUAAGAUACAUCAAGACCCACGCCUGCCUCUAAGGACUUUUCAUGUUACGGCUACUCCUUCCAAGGAAAAAAAGGAAAAAAAACGAAACGAGUUAGAAGCAGUUGCAAGUCUUUGCAGAAACAGGAAGCUCGUCAAACAUUCAAUCAACGACGUGAAUUUGCGCCCCCACAUUCCACACACGUAAUUGAGGAUGGAUUUUGUUGACGAGGCACAAUUUCUUGACGUAAAUGCUUAGAAUCGGAAGAGGUAUAGGCUUGGAAAAUCUAUCGUCAACUAAUUGAUACUAUGGAGUUCUUCUUCUUCCUGUGUUCGGAGUGAGAGAAACAGGUGUGGCUGAGGUUUGGGAAAUUGGGUGAUUGAUGAAGAACAUCAGGGGAAAGAAAGCUGUCGAUAUAUUUUUCAAAUACGCCGAAUCCCACAUUUUAGAUACCCAACCCGCCCAAAUCAAAUUUGGGUAAUGGGUACCCAUUGGGUCUCAAGUUCCAAAUGAGAAGAUAGAAAAAUGGAAAAUGGAGCAAUUGGAGCCAAACAUCCACGAUUUGCCUUUAAACAAACGCCAAAAAGAGAGAACAAAGAAGGAUAAAAAAAAGCUCUGGGAUUUGUAUGUACCAUCAUCACCCAUUUCACUCAUGUUACAGCUACUUGUAAUCUUAGGAAUCUAAAGAGCAGAAUGUACAUAUAAGAUUGCAAGAAAGUUCGGAAAAACUAUUCCAGCAGUCUAAAAGAGUGGAACCAAAAACUAUUCCAGCAGUCUAAAAGAGUGGAACCAACUCCAGAUAAGAGGAAAGCGAUAUCGAGCUGAACUCACAUCAUAAUAAGCCUACCAUUGUAUUUCCGUGAUCUGUAAUCAUUUCUUACUGGCAGUCAAUCAAGAGAUUACUGAAUUAAUAGCAGGUCGCUGCCUGGAUGUAAUUCUGGCACUUCAGCUGUCUAAAAAAAAAAAAAAAAACUAAUUUUAGUACAAAAGGGGGAAAAAUAAUACGCAGGAUCUCCUUCUGGGGAUCACCAGUGUCCAAUGAAUGAAUGGAGUGCCACAUAGCGACAUCCUCCGGCAGCGGAAAUGCUAUCCAUGCUCUGUCCCUAUUGAGUCAGGAAUUUGUUCAAUUGAGCCCAAAAAAUGUUUAAUCUGUGCGAAGCACAUCAGGUUGCGGCUUGAAAGUCCCAAGAAGCAAAUAUGGCAAGAUAACCAUGCCCGCCAUGAAUAGAGUGAACUGCCAUAUUACACAAGACAAUUAGGCAUCAUCCUAGAAACUCUGAAACACUUAGUUCAUCAUUCAUUUUGACAAAUCAUCCUGCACAAUCUUCAUAUUUUCUAACAUCGAUUAUUUUGUACUUCUUCCUUCGGGUCAGAAGCGAAAACUGUUAGACAAUGAGGAUCAUUGCUUCAAGAUAAAGCAAAAAUGCAAGUGAAACUAACAAUUUCUCUUCCUUCCCCCACCCCCCACCCAAAAAAAAAAAAACCUUUUUUGGGGGGUUGAGGGAAUCUUUUCUUAAUCAUCAACUCGAGCUAUCAUUUUAUCAGUCUAAACAUGCUUAUCACAAGAACAAAAUCUCCUCCAAAAACAAAAACAAAAUCUCCUCCAAUACCAAUCUCCACAAAGCAAAUCGAGUGUUUUCAUUCCUUAAAACAAGUAGAGUCUCUCUUUUUCAUAUGGUUCAGGUAAAACCCUUUUAAGCAUCAGAACAUCUGCAAGUAUGUAGAAAAACCUUAAAAGAGACAAAAAGCACUCAUGCUUGGCCUUGGAAACUUUAAUCUCUCUAAAAAGGAGUUAACAAAAACAAGUUAAAGAAUGUACCACAAGAGGCAGGGUCAAGAAACUCCAGAUUGGCCACAAUGCAAAAGAGAACCUGAAUUUAGAAAAUGCACUCAGAAAAAGAAGGGCAGCCUAAAAGACGAGAAAACAAAUAUACAAUAUAUAAAAGCAAUCAGAAUAGCGAGUAUGGUUCCUCUUACAAGCAGAAAGAAAUGAGCCCAAGCACAGUAAUGAAUGGCAAGGCAGCUAUACUUGAAAUCUCCCACUUCUCACUGGACUUCCGAACACCCCAAGCUAACAUACUUGUAUACAAGAAAAAUAGAACAUUCAAACUGAUUCCCAACAUCCCCAUGUACAAUGGAAUCCUGCAUAUGAAUAUGCCAUCAUGAACAUCAUCAACUACUAAAUCCAUGCCAGUUUAAUGGUACAUGGUGGUACCUAUAUUUGACAAAUAUCUUCAUGUCCACAAAAAAACACAUUAUGCAAUGCAUAGUUUAUGAGAAGUUAAUUAAUGUUAUUCAACAACUAUGCGACGGCACAUUGAAAUUCCUAAGAAAAGCAUUAUAUACUAUCAUUUGAAGCAGUAUCAGCAAUGCUCAAUGCGUCUUGAAGCAUUUAGUCAAAGGACAUCAAUUAGUUUGAGGAAUAACAAUUGUAAAACCGUUGCCAAUGCCAGAAACAGAUUCUACAACUGUUGCAUGUUUGAGUGAAGUAAAAGUAACAUCAUUAGUUACUUUGUUCAGCUAAAUGGUCUAGGAAGCUUUUAUAUCAAAGUUAUAGGUGGAUGCACGUUUGAAGUUGAGAAAUGGAUUUGAAUUCACCAAAGCCAGAACAUUGAAUUGUACAGACACAGCAUGUAAUUUGAAUUCACCAAAGCCAGAACAUUGAAUUGUACAGACACAGCAUGUAAAAUAGGAUUUGAUGUUUUGCUCUACGCCUGCAGUGGAAGCAAAUAGAUAUAUCUAUUUUGUAGUAGAGAUACUGCUCAUGCUUGUGGAAUCCCCAGUGACUGCCAGCGGUCUUCUUUUGUCAUGCUUAUAAAACUGAACAUACUCAAAAAUUUGUAGAACAUACUUGUGCAUUUAGAACACUUAAAAAGAAAAUACUCCAACGAAUUGAUAAACAAGUCUUAUUAACAAGCUUUGAGAGAUUUUUUAUCAAUCUUAUUGGUAUUAAGCUUCUUUUGCAUUAGAAAAGCACUUGGAGCCACGAUUUCCACGAAACUAAUCAAUGUGCAAAAGAAGGUGAAGCACAAAGUUGGCUGCAAACAGACAAAUUUAAGAAUAGCUGCAGGUCGUCUUGGCUUCUGAUAAUUUGCAGUACAACAACAAACUGUAAAUAACUUAUACAAUUCCCUUCGACUAGUCCUUUCAGUUUUUAAUUUGUUUUCAUUUUCCUCGUCAUUUAAUGAGAUCAAGUAAAGCAUCCCCGUUAUUAACUGCAAUACAAAUGAACGACAAAAGAAUCAUGUUUUAGAAGCUUUAAUUCGUAGGUUUACCUUCUAAUGCGAUCGUCAUGCCAAAGGAGGUAUAUAAAAUUCGAAUGUCUGUCACCAUAAUAAAUGAUAAAAACUGCGGAUGCAAUCCAAAGAAAAUUCUCUACAACCUCAACCCAUGUCCGAGUUUUAGGAACUAAGGUAGCUGAAGGAAUUGGUCUUGAGCAUGCGUCAUCCUCGAGAUCAUCACCACUUGAUGCAUAUCCCUGACUAUGCCUCUGCCUCAUGUAUCCACCUCCAACUGGAGUUCCACCAGACAUAUCAACAAAUGGACGAAAAGCCACAACUUUCACUCCUAAAUCGCCACCUAAAACUUCGAUGCUCCCACUAAACUAAUUCUGCUCAAAAUGAAUCAAAGAAUGCUGAUAAAAGAGUCUCAGUAUCUUUACAUUAUCCUGAAAUAAAAUUUCCAACAAAGCAGAGAAUUCCCAAGCCACAACCAAUUGAUCAAUAUCAUCUCAUUCCCAAAACCCACAAGCCUAUCAAUCCAAGUAAGAAUCUCUCAAUCAAUGAAACACAAAAUUCUGACAACACGUAUCGAGAAAAACCAAUCUUUUCACAGAAUCCACCUCAAGAAACAGCAGAAUUUCCAAGGAUCAAAUACAAACCUGCACCUUUCCUCAGAAAAAUCCAUCUCAAGCCCAAAACUCUACAACUUUCCCAUGGUUCAAUCAGUUGAACCACGGAUACGGAUUCAAGAAAUCUGUAUGAACUCAGAAGCCGGACUGUUUGACUUCCCAAAUAACACAAUCAGCAACACACAAUAAUUAAUGCCGCCAAAAAUUGAAGAAAAAAUGGAUAAAAACAAGAAGUAGGUCGGGCAAAAGAAGCCAAGAAAGGGUUUUGGUUGGGCUGUCUUGGACUCUUGUUCCUUGACAGAAAACCAAAUUUAACUUGAGAGGGGAUGUAUGUAUGUUUUGUGCUGUGUGUAAGCGUGCGUUUUAAAGAUGGGCAGGUGCCUGCCCUUCCUAAUAUUGGAGAUUCGUUUCUUUGCUCAAGCCCUGAGGAAUGUGUUCAAUUGGGAUUUACAAUUUUGUAAAGUGUAUUUACCUUUUUUUUUUUUUUUUUUAAGUGUAAGUGAAAGAUUCUCACUUACACUCCUCCAAUUCAUCCCUCCCUUCAAUUAGAGUUAUUUAUUUAUCAACUAGUAAUUUUAAAAAAAAAAAUUUCCCCCUUCUUUUAAUACUUAUCUUUCUUUGGUAUAACUUCUUGAUUUUCCUGCAGGGGAAUCUUCAGAAUUUGUUUAUUUCAAUCUAGAAGGUGUUGGCAUUUUCAACAAUUUUUUUUUUGGCCGCUGUAAGGUGCGGUAAGAUACUAACUCGAAUGUCCAAUUCUUUUUUCUAAUAGUAUGAUUGUUUUGGUCAAACAUAUAUUAAUUUUUCGCAAACUUGUCGAUUAUAAAUUAGAGUCAUAAACCUUUCAAAGGUAGUUAACUAUUUAGGUAAACUUGUUGAUUAAUUAUUAUUUCAGCAUUAUAGGUCACCCGUUUAUUUUUUCCAACAGCUAUUUAGAGUUGACAAAUUUUGCCACUUACGUAUUUCCUAGAUUAGUUAAUUUGAAGAGCGCAAGUGCCACCUCGUCCACCAAAAACUAAACUAGGAAUAUAGAAUCAGAGAGUGAACUAGAAACAUGCAAGAAAAAGGAGUUGAUUGACAUAACUUAUAACUACAUAGUAGGAAAGUGGAUUUUUAAAUUUUUAUGCCCAUGUCUUGCGUGCUUAGCAACUUCCACUCACACCCCAUCACCAAACUUUUGCUCAGUUGCCAGACCAGAUUCCAUCGCUCAAGGAUGGAUAUACUCGUCUCGUACCUUUAUUUAAGAAGCAUUCAUAUCGAGUAAUAUAUGCAUUGAUCCCACGACAGUUGGUUGGGGAAAUAUACAAGGAAUGGGCGACAGGAUGAUUUCUGACUGCCGAAAUACGGAUAAAAAGUAGAGUGUGGAAAAAAAGUUUAGGCGCGGCCAUCAGGCGCAUCGCAUGAGUGAGUUAUCAGCAGUCGAAGUCCUUUUUUUUCAAACUAAAGUGUUAUUAAUCGUGCUUUUGAGGCAUUUCUUCUUGCCCGACGCGGACAACUUUAUAGUAGUACUUCUUUUGACAAAUUUGAAAGUACAGAGAAAUGAAGUAAAUUCGAUAAUGAGUGACUUUUUUUUUUUUUUUCUCAAUCAGAAAAGUUGUUGGUAGCUCUUUUCUUUUAAUAUAAAUAAAAGAAUUUAAAUUCAAAAUUUCUCGCUUAUGCUUCUUCACUCGAGCCGUUCAAUUCAUCUUUUUUUUUCUGAUUAGUAGUUCUAAGCUUGCAAAAGCGUGCAAGCGUGCAUUUUGUUUGACCAGCAUAGGGAUUUUCGUUAAUUCCUUCGGUCGACAUUGAUUAGGAAGUAGUAGUACUAACUAACUACUGAGGUAGGGUCACCUACGCGGAAAAAAAUUUCUUAGCAUUUUGAUACCUACGUGCAUAAUUGCUCUACGACUCAGCAUUUUGACUACGCGCGGUGUGUCUGCAUUUUUUAUAAAUACAUAAAUAUUUUUUCCAAAUUGAUUUUACAUAAAAUUUUCAUUAUUAAAGCAAACUUUUGGUAUUUUAACUUUUUUUUUUUCCUGAUCAAAUGAUAGUUAUAAUGCUGAGAACCAGUUAUGUUGUCAACAGGUGUUUAGAGAAUUAGGGUUAAAAAUAGAUAUGGGUGGUUAUUUUGACAAUAAACGUUUAGAUAGUUAAAUAGCAAUUAAUAAGUUGGAUAAGGAUAAAGUUGAAAGUUUAUGACGUUAAUUAUUUACUUCAAGCCCCCACCUCCCUCUUCACAUAUUGAUAUUGUAUGUAUGGAUAGAUUGUUGGUCCGCAACUAUUAUCGGUCCAUGCAAUUAAGUUCCGAGGCAUUCUUGCUUGUGGGUAGGAGCGUUACUUUGCAAUUAGACAUAAGGAGAAAUAAAUGUCUCGAUUUAUCGCCAUGUUUACACGCCAUCUCUCAAGUAAAGAUGAUGAUAAGUCUUAAAUACUUUAUAGUAGAUCAAUUAUCUCUUGCCAACUUGACUUAAUCAGUCAAUUGAUUUUUGAUGGACCAAUUUUAUUAGCAAUCCACAACAGAGAUUGGCGUUAUUAGCUACGUGCCUUAAAUGGAGUAAUUUUCUUUGAUUGUAACUUGACGCGGUGCAAAGCCACCACGCCACGCCGGUCCUUUCUCUUUAAUGAUCCACCAGAGCACAAUUGAAGAUUUUCCCAAGGACCAAAUGAAAGCGACCUAGCUUGGGCAAGAAGGUUACUCGCCACAGCCCACCAAAUCAAGUACGUUGUUUGCGCAGGUGGAGCCAUCCGCUGCGGCAAGGGGCUUCUAGCCUGAAGGUCCGAAGCAAUUUCAGAGUUUGUUCGAAGUUCCGAACCCUGGCAGAAGUAUAGGGACAGUCGGGUGUUUUCUACGGUUGAAGUUACCAGUAACAAUUGCAGCAUAAAAUGUAUGAACUAACAUUACUUUUGUAGACACUAAAAUAUCAACGCACUCAUAUACAGCAUUAGUAUGUGCAUCAAUCAUCCAUGAUUCCACAUAUUUUUUUACAUGAUAACAAGGAGUUUCAGUGCAUCCCACCACCACCACACAGGCCAACCAAAUCAAACACAGUAGAAUAUAGGACAUCCAGAGAUAAAUGUCCCAAGAACUUCCUGGUUUCUGAUUCACUAUUAGAUAUAUCCAUACGAAGUUUGUGUUCCUCUGUGAAUCCAUCUUCCAUCACUAACCACCACGAGAUGCACCCUUCAGCAUCUUCAGGGUCUAUGUGUGACACCAGACUGAGUAGUUCGCCCUGAUCCAACUCAAAUGACAAGGAUAGGAAGUCUCUGUUUGCUUUAAUACCCACUGUAAGGGCUUCAUCGUGAAGCCAGCUAAUAACUUGGCUGGCAACCUAUAAAAAAAUUAAUUGCUUCCUCGUUAGCUUACAUAGAAAUACAAAGGUGCCGAAAGUCCCCCCCCCCCUCCCCUUCUCCCCCAUCCCCCUCUCUCUCCCAAAAAAAAAAAAAAAACUGAGUACCAUAAUACUUGGCUAAGAUAGUAGUACUAAAGCAGAAAAUUGCAUUUGGUGACAGAGCCAAGUCACAGCAACAGCGAACCACUCUGGCAUUCCUCCUAGAAAAGGAGAGUAGUUCACAUAGUAUAUGUCGCCAAAUGCGGAUUGACUUUUGGGGUCUGAUAUGGAAUGAGGUUAUUUAUAUUGACACCACUCUUUGAAGACUACAAAUCAAGGACACUAACCUGCUGUAGGAGUAUCAAAGGAAGAUCUGCCAAUUCACAAUUAUAUCUAUUCAUAGGAGAAAUUGUCUCAGACUUCCCCUUGAAGAGACCAACAACCUUAGGAGCACCUUCCCCUUCCACAGUAAUGCAGUCAUCAUUGACAAGCACCUUAGUCCAGUACUGAGACUUUAGGCUCUUGAUAUGGGUCAGGGCAGAUACCUGAGCC